CUUUCCGGCUGGAAUGGGGAAUUUGUGAGGUCAAGGAUGCAUUCCAGGAAAGUUCUAUAAAAAUAUACCAUCAACUCCAACCUGAUAUUUGACCUAGCCAUGGAAAACCUCAUUGGCUCCUCACUGGAUCAGACCAUAAAAAUGAUCCAGGAAUGAAAAUCUAAGAUAAAUUCCCACCACUUCAAGAUGUUCUUAUACAAGUCAACAGUCUAGCAGAUCAGCCAGUCUCUUUCAUCAUCAAGCAGACAUACUCAAGUGCCAAUUAUAACAUUUUAAUCAAACUGGAACAAAUUGCUAUUAAAAUGGAUCAUUUCUUUAUUAAAAGAAAGAGGAAUAGUGAAGUGAAAUACACAGAAGCAUGUUCAAGUUCAUCUGUUGAAUCUGGAAUUGUGAAUAGUGACAAUAUUGAGAAAAAUACUGACUCCAAUCUGCAAACUUCAACUUCAUUUGAGCCACAUUUCAAAAAGAAAAAAGUAAGUGCAAGACGUUAUAAUGAAGAUUACUUAAAAUAUGGCUUUAUCAAAUGUGAAAAACCCUUUGAAAAUGACAGACCUCAGUGUGUUAUUUGUAAUAAUAUUCUUGCGAAUGAAAGCUUAAAACCUUCGAAAUUAAAAAGGCACUUAGAAACUCAGCAUGCUGAACUUAUUGAUAAGCCUCUUGAAUAUUUUCAAAGAAAGAAAAAAGACAUAAAGUUAUCAACACAAUUUCUUAGUUGUUCUACUGCUGUUAGUGAGAAAGCCUUAUUAUCAUCAUAUUUAGUUGCAUAUCGUGUGGCAAAAGAGAAA
rnacentral:sRNA from 1 species